AAAUGCUCUGGCCUCCUUCCUCUUAAACGCAGCUCACCUUUCACCGUCUCCUGGGGAGUGGAACUCUCUCCUUCCUGCCCCCUCACUUACCAGCUUUUACUAGCCCCCUCCACCCCCUCACAGUCUCUCCCAGGUCAGGUCAUGUUCCCUGGGACACACUCUCCUUUGCCCUCUCCACCCUCAAAACAUCUACAUGGCAACGAGCUAUUCAUGCUGUCUUCUCCACCAGAAAGAAGAAAGAUGCCCUUGGCUCUAGCGGGAUGGAGAACAGAGGCGGCAAAGCCAGCAAGAAGGUUUGGCAGCGUCCCAGGAGAGGUUGGACCAGCACAGCGGUAGAGGAGACGGAAGUGAUGUAGAAGAGCUGGACUGGGCAGACUUUGCAGACCAAUCAGACACCAGCUGGGGCUGGACACAGACCACAGGCCAGCAGGGAACCGACAGUCAUCUCCUCGCUGUGAAGCCAGGACUCAAGUUUUGCUCCAGCCUGGAGUCAGGCGUCCUGGAGCCCACCUGGACCCCGCCUGGACGGCGUCCCCAAGGCCUUUCUGAUGGAGGCGAGGAGUGUGUCCACCAGGUCCACCACCCCCACCUCCGCUUCGGCACAGGAACAAACUGAGCCCGGGGUGCAGCUGAGACCUGACGAAAGUGACACAGUGGGUUGGUGGCAGGGGUCGCAUCCAGGCCCAGCUCUUCUGACUUCACGUUGCUGGGAGGUUCAGGAUAAAUGCAGGCGUGAAUAAACAAAUGUAUGAAAAUCCUGAUGCCUAUGCCCCUGCCACAGUAACAGGGGAAAUUAAGAAUCCAUUAGACAGCUCUUCAUGAGGACUCUAGAGGACCAGGACACCAGAAAGAAGGAAGAGGGUCUGGCAGUGCCCACACCAUGCCAGUUCUUGGAGUGGGGGCAUCCCUAGAACUUAUUUACCUCUUCUGGGAUGGGAGUGGUGAGGGAACGCUUUCCUUCAUUUAGUUAACAGAAGUUUAUUGGGGGAAUGUCAAAUGCUGGGGGCUUCCCAGGUGGCGCUAAUGGUAAAGAAUCCUCCUGCCAAAACAGAAGACAUGGGUUCGAUCCCUGGGUCGGGAAGAUCCCCUGGAGGAGCAAGUGGCAACCCACUCCAGUGUUCUUGCCUGGAAAAUUCCAUGGACAGAGGAGUCUGAGGGGCUACAGUCCACGGGGCCCCAAAGAGUCAGACACGACUGAUCAACCGAGCACACACCUAUCAGCAUUUGCUGCCGUGAAAUUUGCCCAGCAAACCCCUCAGAUAAGGUCCCUGCACUUGUGGGCGAGACAAUCAAAUGACAAGCCAGCAAAGGAAUGCGGGAUGGCCAACAGCAACACCCGUGUGACAGGAGCAAACGGGGCUGGGAGGCACUUGACAGAAAGGAGGGUUUGGAGGCCUUUGCCUCUCUGAAGAGGUGACAUUUAGGCUGAGCCCACGGAAAGAGAAGGAACCAGCCUGGUGGAGCUCUGGAGAAAGGGCUGUUCCAGGCGGAGGAAACAGCAGGUGCAAAGGCCCUGAGGUCAGCAUGAUCUCAGCAUUGUCACCAAAAAAGAUAAAAGGCCACGACAGGCGGCUGCAGCUCCGUGAGGGAGCAGGGCCGGGGGUACCAAGAAGGUCUGUGAUGCGGGCCAGGCCACACAGGGUUUUGUGACCAGGGUGUGAAGCUUGGGUCUUAUUCUGAAAGCACCAGGGAUCCAGGGAAAGGUUAUAAAGCAGGAGGGUUGAUGGGAUCCAGUUUAUGUGUUAGGAACAUAUUUUACUCUGAAUGGGCUUCCCCGGUGGCUCAGACGGUAAAGACUCCACCUGCAAUGCAGGAGGCCCGGGUUAGAUCCCUGGGUCAGGAAGAUGCCCUGGAGAAGGGAAUAGCUACCCAUUCCAGUAUUCUUGCCUGGAGAAUCCCAUGGACAGAGGAGCCUGGCCGGCUACAGUCCAUGGGGUCGCAAAGAGUCAGACGUGACUGAGCGACUAACACUUGUACUUUCAACUCUUUACUCUGAAUAAAGGGUGGAUGGGGACGAGACGGGAGAGAGGCGGGCAGCAGGGAGACUGGCCAGGAGGCUGUGCAAUGAUCAGCAUGAGCGAUGCUGUCACCCGGAGGGAGGCAGUGCGGACGGGAAAAGAAGCGGGCUGCCUGAAGAGAGCUAUAGGGAACAGGAGUGCCAGAGCUGCUGAAGGAGUUGAUGACUGAGAGAGGGAGAGACAAGGCUGCUUUCUGGCUUUAGCGACCGGACAGAUGGCGUUUCGUAAGCCUCGGGGAGAGUGAAAUGAAGUGCUUGGCUUCAGACAAGCUAAGUUAGAGACGCCUUUAGACAUCCAAGGGAGAUGUGAAGGAGACAGCUGGAUGUUCACAGCAAUGACAAGAAUCCUGAUACUCAUACAUGGUGGUCCUCCAGGAGUCCCUCCCAUCUCCGAGCAGCCUCCGCUUGGUCCAGCAGACACGUGCCACCUGUUCUCCACAUCGAAGGCCCGUGGCCCAGGCUUGGAACAACUUCCCUCGGUUGGGCAAGGCUGUGACAGGAAAGGGACAAGACCUGACCCCUGCUUGGAAAGCCAGUUGUGCAACACAGCCCUGUGAGGGCAGGCACGUGACCAACAGGAACAGCCGCCGGAAGGAGCCAGGGCCUUCUCUGAAAUGAAUAUCUUGGCAAGAUCGACGGAGAAAAGGUCCUUUUGGACGCCACUGACUCUGGGUCACAGCUAAUGCCUUCAGAGCCUGGCCGUGGCGCCGUGUCCCGGCCGCGUCCCCGAACACGGAGCCUUGCUGGCUCACUGUCACAUGGGACGUGGGGAGCUGCAGGAACGUACAAUAUAAGCUACCCUUCCGGCUUCUGCACACCCAAACCUCUUGUUUGUACUUACAGGCAGUCUAAACCUGCAGUACAUUCCUCUGGGCAUCCUCUCCCAAGGCAAGCGAGCAGCAUAUUUUUAGUAACAAAUGAAAGUCUUUUGUAUCAAGCCUAAUAGAUAAAGUAGAUGAUGUCUUCGGAUGCUAGCCGGGGUGGAAGUAGGUAUAGAAGAGAGUUUAAUGGUGAAACAGAUUCUUUUUUUUUUUUUCCUUAUAAUGUAAGGUGUUUCUGAAGAUGAUGAAAUAUUGACAUCAUUGUUUGGAAUAAGUGCAUGAUAAUGGCUAUGUGUAUUAGACACCUAUCUACCAUGUUCCAGAAACAGGGCUCAGAAUCAGAUUUUUUUUUUAAAACUUCUUUCAGUGAUUAAAGGCAUUAAACUAUUCUUUUCCCCCUCGAAUCCAUUCUUGCUGUUUUUUCCUUUCAGAGAGCUUUUUGUAUGCAAACGUUCUCUGUACUGGCACAAAGUUGUU